GAUGAAGAACGCAGCGAAAUGCGAUAAGUAGUGUGAAUUGCAGAAUUCAGUGAAUCAUCGAAUCUUUGAACGCACCUUGCACCCUUUGGCAUUCCGAAGGGUAUGCUCGUUUGAGUGUCAUUGUACUCUCACACUUCCGAUCUUUCGAUUGGGAGCGGUGGACUUGGGUGUUGCUGCUUUACUGUGGCUCACCUCAAAUGGAGUAGUGCAACUCUUGGUUGGACAUAGUACGGCGUGAUAAGUGUCUUCGCCGGCACCUCAUAGAGGGUGGCUGAUCAGGAGCUCUGUGCUUCAAACCGUCUUCGGACAACCUCUGACAACUUGACCUCAAAUCGAGUAGGACCACCCGCUGAACUUAAGCAUAUCAAUAAGCGGAGGA
rnacentral:misc_RNA from 1 species